rnacentral:tRNA from 1 species
GCCAAGGUAGCUCAGUUGGUAGAGCAAACGCCUGAAGAGCGUUGGGUCCCCGGUUCGAUCCCGGGCCUUGGCA